CAAAACUGGAAGGAUCCCCAGAACAUUGAACACAGGUAAUCAAAGUUGGAAGGACCCCCAGAACAUAGAACAUAGGAAACCAAGGCUGGAAGGACCCCCCAGAACAUAGAACACAGGAAACCAAGGCUGGAAGGACCCCCCAGAACAUAGAACACAGGAAACCAAAGUGGAAGGUCCCUGUUAAAGAUUUUUCUAUAGCCAAAGAGCUGUUGGGAAUUUUCCAACAUCUUGAACCUUCUGACACUUGCAUAUCACUGCAUCUCCAUCAACAUGCUGGCCUCAGGUUGAGACAGUGCCUAAAGAAAGGCGAGCCUGGAGAGAGGAGGAAGAUAUCAGAGCUCAGCUCAACAUUCAGGCCAGCUGAAGGUAAAUCCAAUCACUGACUUAUUUGAGUGCUGUUGUUUUUCCCUGGAUCCUAUUAAUUAAUCUCAUUCACUCAAUGGCCAUAUGCAGAGCUGAGCAGAAAUUGAAAUUUAAGGAGUUUUAUUAAGUCAUUAAGGGAAAUGAGCAGAAAGAACAGAAAUUAUCUAAUCUUUGUGGGUCUAUCACUAUGCUAAACUGGUGAGUCAUUGUGGCACAGAGUGGGGGUAGGGACAGUGCUGCUUAGAACAUAAAACAUAGAACUUAUAAACUGACAGAUUCCUUAGAAUGUAGGAUACUUAGAAUAUAGAAUAUUAGAAUUGUAAAGGUUCUUAGAAUGCAGAAUGCAGAAUGUCAGAGCUGGAAGCAACCUUAGAAAAUAGAACACAGAACAAUCUAUAUCCUUAGGUUCCUUCUAGCUCUAACAUGGCAUAGUCUAAAGAAUCUUAGAACAUAGAUUAUGGAACAUAGAUUAUUGAACACCAGAGCUAGAAAAGAACUGAGAACCAUGGACAUAAAAUUAGAACAACAGAGUUGAGAAGGUUCUUAGAAGAUCAUCUAGUCCUGUAGAGCUACCAUAUUUUAUAUAAAAAUGAAUUGAGAGCAAAGAGGAUGUAACUUGCCCAUUUACAUUGCUGGUAGAUGACAAAGGAUAAUCAGAACCUAUCUUUUCUGAUUGUUGGACCAAUAUUCAAUCCCUAUGCUAUAUCUCAAAGCCACUCAGUGUAUUAUAACAUAAUGCAUUUUCUGGCCCUGGAGAAGUAGAAGGGUCUAUUACUCUCUUCUGAUACAUUGGGAAACUGAGUGUAGAGAUGGAAAGAUAUGUGCCAGAUUAUAGCAAUAAGGAUAGAUCCAGGUCUGCUGAUUUUCUUUUUUUUUCAUUUUUAAAAAUAUGCAUUGUUUUAUGAACCAUAUUGGGAGAGAAAAAUCAGAGCAAAAGGGAAAAACAAUGAGAGAGGGAAAAAAAAAAAACCAAAAAAGAAGCAAAUAUAGCAUGUGUUGAUUUAAAUUCAAU
rnacentral:lncRNA from 1 species